rnacentral:rRNA from 1 species
UCUACGGGAGGCAGCAGUGGGGAAUAUUGGGCAAUGGGCGCAAGCCUGACCCAGCAACGCCGCGUGAAGGAAGAAGGCUUUCGGGUUGUAAACUUCUUUUCUCAGGGACGAAGCAAGUGACGGUACCUGAGGAAUAAGCCACGGCUAACUACGUGCCAGCAGCCGCGGUAAUACGUAGGUGGCAAGCGUUAUCCGGAUUUACUGGGUGGAAAGGGCGUGUAGGCGGGACGGCAAGUCAGAUGUGAAAACCACGGGCUAAACCUGUGGCCUGCAUUUGAAACUGUAGUUCUGGAGUACUGGAGAGGCAGACGGAAUUCGUGGUGUAGCGGUGAAAUGCGUAGAUAUUAGGAGGAACACCAGUGGCGAAGGCGGUCUGCUGGACAGCAACUGACGCUGAGGCGCGAAAGCGUGGGGAGCAAACAGGAUUAGAUAGCCUGGUAGUC